rnacentral:lncRNA from 1 species
GUUAAAGUAAAUAUUCCAUGACACCAUGACUCAGUAUUUCACCAUUUGGUAAAAAUAUAUAAAUCUUACAAAUAAUUUACCCAAACUCUAGACUUCGAGAGCGUGGACUGUGCUUGUGCAAUCCUCUCUCGGUCAUUGUCUAAUGUGGAAGGAGUUGUGCUUGAUGGUUGCAGCCUGUAAUUAGUGAGAUCAGUAAUCAAGACAGCUGUGAUGUAUUUUCCUUCAAGAACUAAAAGAGUGAGGACAUCUGUCUGAGAUGAAUGAAAUGGUCAAAUAUAAAUGAACCUAAAUUUGCUGUGUUGUGUGGUUCUUUUCAGGGAGAAAAGAGAGUAUAUGUCCCUCAUGAGAAUAUUUCUUCAGCAUCAAAAUUGAGUAACGUUUACUUCCUGGCAACAGAAUUUUAUGUCCCAGACAGGAAGCACUUUAAGCAAAGAAGUAAACACCUCAAAACAGCUUCAGGAAUCCCGG